AUUGGAUUUAUCCAAUGUGGUGAAAAUUCAUUAUUAUAUUUUAAGGUGGGAAAAUAAAGUGACAUUUCCCUUUUAUCCAUUCGUAAGAUGGAGAUUUCAAGGACGAAAGAUAAACUCCUGUAAAACACCAUGAAAUUAUCAAGAUAAUAAUAGAUUAUCAAGACAAUAAUCGAUUAACGGAGAAAUGAUUUUGUCUCGGAGUCCUUUACACUGUAAAAAUCAUCAAUACAAAAGAUGAUGAGAAAAAUUUUAAAAUACAAUUUUUCGCCAUGAGGAGAAUAUAAUUUUGUGCAAGAUUCCAAUGUGAUGUUUAUUAUGGCACGCACUUUCCUAGCGUGAAACACGUAAAUUUUGGAUAAUAGAUGGAUAUGUUAGACCAGAAACAGAACCAGAAGAGGGUCGCUAAAUAUUCAGAAAUGAUAUUUGUGAAAUAAGAAUAAUGAUCAAUAUGCAAUAAAUAUGUUGCGAGAUAUUCAUUAGCUUGUGGAUAAGACCUCACUAGUCACGCAAAUUCACCAGGAUGCAAUAGAUUAUCAAACGAAUGCGAAUCACGAACUAAUAAUAAGCCCUGGGUCGUCUGACAUUAUCGGUGGUGAUUCAAGUCAAAUUUAACACGGGCCAUAUCGCAAUUGCGGAUGAAUGUGCAGCUCUCUCUCCAACUGGAUAUAUAACUCACAGAGCGUUUGUUUGCAUUAUCUCGACACUCAAAUACUCAUAUUUAUCUCAUCUCUCGCGAUAUUCCUCACGAGAGAUUGUUAUUUUAUUAACGCAACCAGUCGCAAACAUCUUUUACAUUCGAAAUUGAACACCAAUUCAUCAA